rnacentral:lncRNA from 1 species
UUUUUUUUUUUUUUAUGUUCAUGAAAUUACUGAUUAAUCUCUUCCUCCACAGGAAGAUAACAGGCCAGUAGGUGGGUUUUCUCUUCGUGGUUCCCUUGUGUCUGCACUGGAGGAUAAUGGUGUUCCUACUGGAGUUAAAGGUAAUGUCCAAGGAAACCUCUUCAAAGUGAUUACGAAGGAUGACACACACUAUUAUAUCCAGGCCAGCAACAAGGCUGAGCGAGCAGAAUGGAUUGAAGCUAUCAAGAAGCUAACAUGAUCUAAGGAGCAGACCAGGGUCCUCAUUGGAUACAGAUGAGACUACCUGGAGAACUGGAGUACUUUUGGGGCUGGGGAUGUGGCUCAGUGUUAGAGGACCUGCCUGGCAAUCUUGAGGCCCCAGGUUCAAUUCUUGGUACCGUUUAAAAAAACAAAAAAACCAAAAAACCUUUACCAUUGUACAUUUGCACCUCUUUGGAGACUGCUCAAGUUGGCUCCUCACAUGACAGUGGGGAUUCGAUUUCCUGUCUUCUUAUGACCAACUUUCAAAGCUGGACCAGCUCUUAGGUGAGCAGCAUCUUGACUUUGCUCUUCAGAACAGAAAUCUGCGUCCUUGGGGACCAUAGUACCACCUCUCAAUUGGAACACUAACUCUGGUUUUGCUAUAUUAAAUACCC